CAAUAGACUACCCUGGUAGUCCACGCCGUAAACGAUGAGUGCUAAGUGUUAGGGGGUUUCCGCCCCGUUAGUGCUGCAGCUAACGCAUUAAGCACUCCGCCUGGGGAGUACGGUCGCAAGACUGAAACUCAAAGGAAUUGACGGGGGCCCGCACAAGCGGUGGAGCAUGUGGUUUAAUUCGAAGCAACGCGAAGAACCUUACCAGGUCUUGACAUCCCAUUGACCACUAUGGAGACAUAGUUUUCCCUUCGGGGACAACGGUGACAGGUGGUGCAUGGUUGUCGUCAGCUCGUGUCGUGAGAUGUUGGGUUAAGUCCCGCAACGAGCGCAACCCUUGUUCUUAGUUGCCAUUCAUUUAGUUGGGCACUCUAAGGGGACUGCCGGUGACAAACCGGAGGAAGGUGGGGAUGGCGUCAAAUCAUCAUGCCCCUUAUGACCUGGGCUACACACGUGCUACAAUGGACGGUACAAACGGUUGCCAACCCGCGAGGGGGAGCUAAUCCGAUAAAACCGUUCUCAGUUCGGAUUGUAGGCUGCAACUCGCCUACA
rnacentral:rRNA from 1 species